rnacentral:rRNA from 1 species
GUAGGGAAUAUUGGGCAAUGGAUGCAAGUCUGACCCAGCCAUCCCGCGUGCCGGAAGAAGGCCCUCAGGGUUGUAAACGGCUUUUGACGGUGAAGAAUCGACAGGAUGCGUCCUGUUUUGACGGUAGCCGUUGAAUAAGCACCGGCUAACUCCGUGCCAGCAGCCGCGGUAAUACGGAGGGUGCGAGCGUUGUCCGGAUUUAUUGGGUUUAAAGGGUGCGUAGGCUGGAAGGUCAGUCAGCGGUGAAAAGCUGUCGCUUAACGAUAGUCUUGCCGCAGAUACUUCCUUUCUUGGAUGAGGAGGAGGCCACUGGAACGGAUGGUGUAGCGGUGAAAUGCAUAGAUAUCAGCCAGAACACCGAUUGCGAAGGCAGGUGGCUGUACCUUAAUCGACGCUGAUGCACGAAAGCAUGGGGAGCAAACAGGAUUAGAAACCCGUGUAGUCC